AUAUCACUACACACACUGGGAUUCUCUCUCCUGAAGCCUUCGGUCAAAGGUCCCUCCAGUCUCCUCUUCUCUCCUGCUCUGUCCUGUCCUUCUGGUACCUCAGACCCUGGCUACUCACCUCCUCAGACAGCUCAGUGUGUUCUCUAGAAGGGGUUUGUUACAACCUCUACAGGUGGUCUCCUCACUACAGAAGACAUGGACACCUGGGAACCCAACCUGGUGCGAUCCAUUAAGGCCAGUUUCCCCUCUGAAAGCCUUCACAUGUCCUGUGACCUGAUGGGAAUAAUAUUGAAUCCCUCCAUGUGGACAGUCCCACCCCUGGUCCCAGGGCAGAGCUUCAGCUACGUCCAUGGGGCCUCCUCAGUGUCCCUGCUGGGCCAGACGGUGGGUCAGAGUUUGCAGGCGGCAGCUGACCGCUGGCCCCACAGAGAGGCCCUGGUGUUCGUGCAGGAUGGAGUCCGUAAGACCUUCUCCCAGUUUCAGGAGGACCCUCAAGUCUUCUUGGGUAUGACACUACAAGUUCAGCACACCUAUAUUUGGGGAGUUUCUCCCAUUCUGCUCUGCAGAUCCUCUCAACCUCUGUCAGGUUGGACGGGGAGCGUCGCUACACAGCUAAUUUCAGGUCUCUCCAGAGAUGUUAGAACAGGUUCAAGCCCGGGCUCUGGCGGGGCCACUCAGAGACUUGUCCCGAAGCCACUCCUGUGUUGUCUUGGCUGUGUGCUUAGGGUUGUUGUCCUGUUAGAAGGUGAACCUUUGCCCCAGUCUGAGGUCCUGAGCGCUCUGGAGCAGGUUUUCAAUCAAGGAUCUCUCUCUACUUUGCUCCGUUCAUCUUUCCCUCGAACCUAACUAGUCUCCAAGUCUCUGCCGCUGAAAAACGUCCCCACAGGCUGAUGCUGCAAACAACGUGAGUGUAUGUAUGUGUUACAGCAUGACGUAAAAUCACUACUUUUACAUACCCCAGGGCAUUGUGAAGCAGAAUGACGCUCGUAGGUACCCUGUCUAACUGGGAGUGGGGACAGACAAUUGUAAAUGGUUUAGACGGGGCUUUACUUUAAUCAAAGUGCAGUACAGAUUCAAAGAAUGCAGGCAAUGCAAAAGCUAAAC
ensembl:lncRNA